CUCUAAGACAAACCAUAUCUUUCCUCUCGCGAUACUUUUAGGAUUUUCCAAUGAAAUCAAUUCCACGUUUGGGUCUAUUUUAUCAAGAGGGACGGAAUAAAGAUGCUUGUCUCUCAACUCUGAACCAUUGUCCAUUUCAGCACCAUGGACAGCAGCCCGUCUGAACGGCAACAUGCAAGUCUUGUCUUGAGUUUUCUUCAUUUCUUAGUCAGUUUAGGUGAUUGUUUGAUUAUGAAGAAAGUGAACAGAUGAGCAAUGAAUGAAAAACAUAACCAGCUGUUGUGCACUUUUUAGGCAUACAUCAGAUGCUCUUUAUUUCUGUGACUUGCAUCACAUUUAAGGUGAGUCAUCACAUGUCAGUUGUGAUGGGAUUUAGCAUCCAUUUCACAUAUAAUCAUUAUGUCUGCUUUACCCUUAGUGUGUGUGAUGAGUUUCUUUUGGCUGUAUACAAAAUGUUCUCCCUGGGAUUUAAAGUUUAAGGGAAAAGGGUAGAAAAUCGUGCCAAAAAAAAAAAAAAAAACCUUCAUUAAAAAACAGCUGUGUCUUGCUAUUUGACAUCAAGACAAGAUUACAUUAUCCAAGAUCAAAACAGAUGUAAAGAUCUGGUGAAAGAACAUUUAUUAGUCAAACAGCUCCCUAUUUAGAUGAAGCUAUUUGUUACGAUCAAUCAGUGUUUGUCUGAUUUACUUGAAAUAUCUAAAGUCUGCUUAUGUAUUAGGUACUGUUUCUGUAAAUCAAUUCAGUUAUGUGGAAUGUAUGUUGAUAUUUGAACAUCUGAUUAUUUCAGAACUAUAGCUACACUGUGACAAUGAAUAAGGUACAGUAAUAUGUGUAUGUUGUUUGUUUUGUUCUAGUUUUGUUGUUUUGUUUUUGUCUUGUAGGCUGUUGUGAGUUAUUGACGAUAUCUUUGUGUUUGUCGUGUGAUGUUUUUUUGUGUCUUUGCACUGCGACAGAGAGCUAAUUGUAAAUGUAGACUUCAGGAAGAAUAGCGAUGGCCUUAGCCAAAGCUGAUGGAAAUCUAAAUAAAUGAAAUAUAUAUAUCUUUGCAGAGCUCAAAGGUGGUUCCAUAUGUGGUCAAGAAAUGAGGGUACCAUAUUUUAAGAAAUGGUACUCCAACUCAAAACUUUAGUGAGUUAUAGGUGCUGAAGCGAAAACUGUUGCAACCAUACCCAAUUUCCCCAACUUUGAGUUUCUCUUCUACACUGUUAUAUAAUAGCUACCAUUUUGAACUGAACUCUAAAAUCCCUCAACUCUUUCUUCACAAAAAGCUGUCUGAACUGUAUGUUUAAAGCUCUUUAAAACUGUAUAGACAAAUGAAACCAAAAGAAACAGUCAUCAAAAACCUAAUUGUAAAUAGGAGCCUAUCUGAAAGGGUUUUAAAGUGUAUUUUGUUUAUACAUUACAUUUUUUUCAUGGCCUGUGAACUACAGAUGGACCAGUUCAUCAUUUGGCCUAUUUAGGUUUUUGGCAUUUUAACAUAAUUGGCAUCAUAUGGACAUCAGCCCUCACAAGGCCAAUAAUCA